rnacentral:rRNA from 1 species
AUGCCAAGAAUGGCUCCGACUCGGCCUUGUCUGGCAUUGGCGCGGUGGGUGCUCCUGGCGGCUGUGGCGGCGAGGCUCGCCGGCGCUGAUGACCCCUACCGCUACUUCACCUGGAUUGUGACGUAUGGCCCCAUCAACCCGCUCGGCACCACCCAGCAGGGCAUCCUCAUCAACGGGCAGUUCCCGGGCCCUCGCAUCGACUGCGUCACCAACGACAACCUCAUCGUCAACGUCGUCAACAACCUCGACGAGCCAUUCCUCAUCACAUGGAACGGGAUCAAGCAGCGGAAGAACUCAUGGCAGGACGGCGUGGCGGGCACCAACUGCCCCAUCCCGCCCGGUGCCAACUACACCUACAAGUUCCAGGCCAAGGACCAGAUCGGCACCUUCACCUACUUCCCCUCUGUCGCGCUGCACCGCGCCGCCGGAGGGUUCGGCGCCCUCAACGUUUACCAGCGACCCGCCAUCCCCGUCCCCUACCCGGCCCCAGCCGGCGACUUCACACUUCUCGUCGGUGACUGGUACCUCGCCGGACACGACCAGCUCCGCCAGACACUCGACUCCGGCGCGCCGCUCCCGUUCCCGGACGCGCUGCUCAUCAACGGCAUGCCCUCCGCCACCUUGGUGGGCGACCAAGGGAGGACGUAUCUGUUGAGAGUGUCCAAUGUCGGGAUGAAGACGUCGAUAAACUUCCGGAUCCAGGGCCAUGCUCUGAAGCUGGCGGAGGUGGAAGGUACGCACCCGGUGCAGAACGUCUACGACUCCCUGGACGUGCACGUCGGUCAGUCCGUGGCGUUCCUCGUCACCCUCGACCAGCCGCCCAUGGACUACGCCGUGGUGGCGUCGACGCGGUUCAACCCGGCCGACACCAGCCCGCUAACGGCGGUCGGGACGCUGCAUUACAGCAGCGCCACCUCCUUGGCGCCUGGCCCGCUCCCGGCAGGACCGCCGGAGGAGAGCGAGUGGUCGAUGAACCAGGCAAGAUCCUUCCGGUGGAACCUGACGGCCAGCGCCGCGCGGCCCAACCCGCAGGGGUCGUUCCACUACGGCACUAUCCAGACGUCGAGGACGCUGGUCUUGGCCAGCUCAGCUGCCGUCGUCGCUGGGCAGAGACGGUACGCCGUGAACGGCGUCUCAUUCGUCGUACCGGACACGCCUCUGAAGCUCCUGGACAACUACAACAUCGCAAACGUGAUCGAAUGGGACAGUGUCCCGGAGCGGCCCGACGGCGGGGCACCCCGGCCCGGGACGCCUGUGGUCAGGCUCAACCUGCACGAGUUCGUGGAGGUGGUGUUCCAGAACACCGAGAACGAGAUGCAGUCGUGGCAUCUUGACGGAUAUGAUUUCUGGGUCGUCGGGUACGGCGAUAAUGGGCAGUGGACGGAGAAUGAGCGGCUGAACUACAACCUGGUCGACGCGCAAGCGAGGCAUACUGUUCAGGUGUAUCCGAACGGAUGGUCGGCGAUCUUGGUGUCGCUGGACAACCAAGGGAUGUGGAACCUGAGGUCGGCGAACUGGGACCGGCAGUACCUCGGCCAGCAGCUGUACCUGAGGGUCUGGACGGCGGAGCAGAGCUUCUCCAACGAGUACAGCAUCCCGACCAACGCCAUACUCUGCGGCAGAGCUGCCGGCCUUCCACACUGA